CGAGUGAAGCGGCAAUAGCUCAAAUUUGAAAGCUGGCCCCUUCGGGGUCCGCGUUGUAAUUUGUAGAGGAUGAUUCGGCGAGGGCUCCCGCCUAAGUCCCCUGGAACGGGGCGUCAUAGAGGGUGAGAAUCCCGUAUGUGAUGGGUUGCCUUAGCCAUGUGAAUCUCCUUCGACGAGUCGAGUUGUUUGGGAAUGCAGCUCUAAAUGGGAGGUAAAUUUCUUCUAAAGCUAAAUACCGGCCAGAGACCGAUAGCGCACAAGUAGAGUGAUCGAAAGAUGAAAAGCACUUUGGAAAGAGAGUUAAAAAGUACGUGAAAUUGUUGAAAGGGAAGCGCUUGCAGUCAGACUUGUCCGCGGUUGCUCAGCCGGUCUCUUGACCGGCGUACUCUUCCGCGGCCAGGCCAGCAUCAGUUCGGGCGGUCGGAUAAAGACCUCGGGAAUGUAGCUCCUCUCGGGGAGUGUUAUAGCCCGGGGUGGAAUGCGGCCAGCCUGGACUGAGGAUCUCGCUUCGGCUAGGAUGCUGGCGUAAUGGCUGUAAGCGGCCCGUCUUGAAACACGGACCAAGGAGUCUAACAUCUAUGCGAGUGUUUGGGUGUCAAACCCAUACGCGUAAUGAAAGUGAACGGAGGUGGGAACCCUCAGGUGCACCAUCGACCGAUCCUGAUGUCUUCGGAUGGAUUUGAGUAAGAGCAUAGCUGUUGGGACCCGAAAGAUGGUGAACUAUGCCUGAAUAGGGUGAAGCCAGAGGAAACUCUGGUGGAGGCUCGCAGCGGUUCUGACGUGCAAAUCGAUCG
rnacentral:rRNA from 1 species